rnacentral:rRNA from 1 species
CACAUGCUACAAUGGCUAGUACAGAGGGCUGCGAUACCGCGAGGUGGAGCGAAUCCCUUAAAGCUGGUCUCAGUUCGGAUUGGGGUCUGCAACUCGACCCCAUGAAGUCGGAGUCGCUAGUAAUCGCAGAUCAGCAACGCUGCGGUGAAUACGUUCCCGGGCCUUGUACACACCGCCCGUCACGUCAUGAAAGUCGGUAACACCCGAAGCCGGUGGCCUAACCCUUGUGGAGGGAGCCGUCGAAGGUGGGAUCGGCGAUUGGGACGAAGUCGUAACAAGGUAGCCGUA